rnacentral:rRNA from 1 species
UACGUAGGGGGCAAGCGUUGUCCGGAUUUAUUGGGCGUAAAGAGCGUGUAGGCGGUCCGGUAAGUCCGCUGUGAAAGUCGGGGGCUCAACCCUCGAAUGCCGGUGGAUACUGUCGGGCUAGAGUGCGGAAGAGGCGAGUGGAAUUCCUGGUGUAGCGGUGAAAUGCGCAGAUAUCAGGAGGAACACCUAUUGCGAAGGCAGCUCGCUGGGACGUUACUGACGCUGAGACGCGAAAGCGUGGGGAGCAAACAGG